ACUACGGGAGGCUGCAGUGAGGAAUAUUGGUCAAUGGACGAGAGUCUGAACCAGCCAAGUAGCGUGAAGGAUGACUGCACUAUGGGUUGUAAACUUCUUUUAUAUGGGAAUAAAAUGUUCCACGUGUGGGAUUUUGUAUGUACCAUAUGAAUAAGGAUCGGCCAACUCCGUGCCAGCAGCCGCGGUAAUACGGAGGAUCCGAGCGUUAUCCGGAUUGAUUGGGGUUAAAGGGAGAGUAGGUGGAUUGUUAAGUCAGUUGUGCAAGUUUGCGGCUCAACCGUAAAAUUGCAGUUGAAACUGGCAGUCUUGAGUACAGUAGAGGUGGGCGGAAUUCGUGGUGUAGCGGUGAAAUGCUUAGAUAUCACGAAGAACUCCGAUUGCGAAGGCAGCUCACUGGACUGCAACUGACACUGAGGCUCGAAAGUGUGGGUAUCAAACAGGAGUAGAUACCCUGGUAGGC
rnacentral:rRNA from 1 species